GGCAGUUUAGUUUAAUGGUAAAACACUUGACGUGUAAUCACAGAGAUGUGAGUUCGAGUCUCAUGGCUGGCCA
rfam:Octopus bimaculoides Scaffold17086_contig_4, whole genome shotgun sequence.